CCUACGGGAGGCAGCAGUGGGGAAUAUUGGGCAAUGGAGGAAACUCUGACCCAGCGACGCCGCGUGCGGGAUGAAGGCCUUCGGGUUGUAAACCGCUUUCAGCAGGGAAGAAGCGAAAGUGACGGUACCUGCAGAAGAAGCACCGGCUAACUAUGUG
rnacentral:rRNA from 1 species